UACGUAGGGUGCGAGCGUUGUCCGGAAUUACUGGGCGUAAAGAGCUCGUAGGUGGUUUGUCGCGUUGUCCGUGAAAACUCACAGCUUAACUGUGGGCGUGCGGGCGAUACGGGCAGACUGGAGUACUGCAGGGGGAGACUGGAAUUCCUGGUGUAGCGGUGGAAUGCGCAGAUAUCAGGAGGAACACCGGUGGCGAAGGCGGGUCUCUGGGCAGUAACUGACGCUGAGGAGCGAAAGCGUGGGGAGCGAACAGGAUUAGAA
rnacentral:rRNA from 1 species